GGAAAGGUCAACAGAGUGCUUUCUGUCUGAAUUUUAGGAUGUGUUUCUUGUGGAAGUGUUUGUCUGCACAUCUGUGACAGAGCUGAGCAAUCAUUCUGGCCUCAGCUUAGGAAGGGAAGUAUCCCUGCUUGGGACAGCCUUUGGAACUUACACAUCUCAAAUUAAGCAAGCACUUCAAAUGCUGCACAAGAUAGGGCACAUUCCUUAUUUAGAUUCUGCUUAUCACUUCUCCUGUUGUUACUGGCCUUGCUACAUUCUUCAUAAUGCCAGCAAUCUAUAUUUUUGAUUAAAAAUAUAUAUAUAGUAUCAGAUAUACAAACCUAUAAACUGGUUAUUUGUACUGAAGCUGUGAACUUCCUCUUUCAGUUUCCUGUUCUAAUAACUUCAUGUCUUUAGAAUUAAAACUGUGACAAGCAGUAGUGCCUCUCAUCUUUCUCAUGCAUUGGCCAUCCUUCCCAGUUUACGAGACGUCUGUUGCUUUCUUCAGAUGAGUCCAUCUUCUGAAGGUCAUGAUUUUCCUCCAUUGAGCUUACACCUUGGCUUUAUAGCUCGUACAUGCAAGAAAUAGAAGCAGAUUUGCAGGAGGUACCAGUAGUUACAUAAGUUCUUCCUAUUCUUUGAACGUAACCCAUCAAACAAUCAGAGCAGCAGCACAGUGCUCAAGAUGCUGUGACAGUCCUCUGGAGUUGUCUGCCUCGUUCUGCAAGCCAGCCUGUUGUCUGAAGCUCAGGACCUCGAUACAUGCCUUCUCAAAGCUGGACUUCCAGUGCAGCCAUCAUGGGAGCAGUGUAUCCCUGGACAUCAAGUGCUGCACUGCAAAUUGUCUCACGAUGCUAAGUACCUCAAGUCUAUUCCUCAGUCCGAUAAUUAUCUGUAUUCAGCUAGAGCACGGGGAUCAGUAUGCUGUCAACAUCCACCUCAUCAUUGUAAAUGCACACAGCCCCAAAAAGAAAAUGAGCAAAUAUUUCCUACGGUAAGUGUGAAAUCUCAGCCCUUGCUGGGUCCUUUCAUAUGAUUUUUUUCUGCAGUUAUUAAGCUGAGCACAUGAAAAAAAAAAACAAAACACAUUUGUUGGCAGUUUUUUCCAGGGGCCUUACUGGAGUUGCAUUUGGUAGCCAUUGUUACACAGAAUUGGUAAGUCAGUGGGUGGUUUGGUUAACCUUCACUUCAAAGCUCUCAAGAGCUGAUUUCCUAGCAGUUAAAAUUAUCUGAACUGAAAAGGAAAAUAUUUGUAACUUCUCAAUCCUCACCCUACUGAACUGCUUCAUAGAAGCGGCAGUUCUGUUAAAACCAUGUUUUAAAAAAAGAAAAAAAUAAUCUUAUUUUGGUACCUCUUUGGUGUGUCUUUUUAAAAUUGCAUUGACACGUUGUUCAAACCUGCAUUUAGUCCCACGUUGAUAAUACAAUGAAAGUAGUUCCUCCCAGGCAGAUACUUCUAUUCUUCAGAGUGUAGGAGUGAAAGUAGCCUCUUGGCC
rnacentral:lncRNA from 1 species